rnacentral:rRNA from 1 species
AUUGAACGCUGGCGGAAUGCUUUACACAUGCAAGUCGAGCGGCAGCGCGGGGCAACCUGGUGGCGAGUGGCGAACGGGUGAGUAAUGCAUCGGAACGUGCCAUUGAGUGGGGGAUAACGUAGCGAAAGUUGCGCUAAUACCGCAUAUUCUGUGAGCAGGAAAGCAGGGGACCGCAAGGCCUUGCGCUCUUUGAGCGGCCGAUGUCAGAUUAGCUAGUUGGUGAGGUAACGGCUUACCAAGGCGACGAUCUGUAGCGGGUCUGAGAGGAUGAUCCGCCACACUGGAACUGAGACACGGUCCAGACUCCUACGGGAGGCAGCAGUGGGGAAUUUUGGACAAUGGGCGCAAGCCUGAUCCAGCCAUGCCGCGUGAGUGAAGAAGGCCU